GUGUGUCUCCCAGGGGGGGUUACUGGUGCAGAAUGACCCCUGUGUGUCUCCCAGGGGGGGUUACUGGUGCAGGUUGAUCACUGUGUGCCUCCCAGGUGGUGCUGCCCUUCAGUUUUGACGCCUUGUAUUCACUGAAGCCGCGGGCUGAGAGGAGCUGAAAGCCUAGCAGCUCGUUCUAUAAUUGGCAACUGCUGUUUUACAAGGCAGGUGCUGGAGUAGAGUUUUGCGCAGAGCUGCAUUUUUUCACUGCGUUCGCGGUUUGUGCACUGCGGACACUGGUGGGUGGAACGUGCAGUGUUGUCAAAGGCGGUACACGUGGCUAGCGUGGGGUACCUGUCACGCACGCGUGAGGCUGCACCUGGAAGCAGGUACAGAAACGGCGGACCGGCCUCUCGCUGGCCCACGGCGACGCGCCACGGACCUGCGCGGCCGCCCCGCCGACACGCGAGCGGGGAGCCGGUUACAUCAUCUCCUCCCCCCCUCCCCGCAGGAGAAAGGGGGCGACGUGGGCAGCGCGCCUGCGCAGUGAGCGGAGCUGCGUGUAAUCCCGGCGGAUUGACUCCGGGACACAGGGAGAGAGAGAGAGAGAGGAGCCGAGGCGACUGUGGUCGUGCUGGUUAUGAAGAAGGAGGAGGAGGAGAAGGAGGGGGAAGAGGGCUCGCCGUGUGGAAAGCCAGUCAGCCUCGAUUUUAUAAAAGGCAGGAAAACCUCCCGCUAGCCAGCGGCAGCGCAGCGCCCACAAAGACAGACCGCAGGACGCGCAGCGCCGAUGGGAAACCCGGCGUAAAGAACUGCAGCUUUUUAGCCACAGCACUACGACGGGACUGAGCUUGAAUCCAGGGAUCAUCCCGGCACGCACGAUUCGGGGUCUGGGGAUCCUCGUCAGCGGAACAGCCAGCCGGCUCCGAAGGGGGCUGUAACAGCGGAUUCACACCCCGACAUUACGCGCCGGGGCGCCUAGCCUGAGCCCGACCGCACGGCCGCGGCGGAUGAGCGGCUCCGCAGACGCGCUGCGCUCGCAACUUCCCGCAGGGCGGCCGAGGUGAGGCGGCGCCGGCGGCUCUUGUGUUAUCUGUGCGAAACACUUUGAUUUCUCGGGAGGCUCGCCGCCCGAGUGUGUCGGCUGGGGCUGUCGUUUUAGAGGGAGGGGGAGAGAGAGAACCGUAACACCGCGUUGCGGCAAGUGGGCCCAGGUGGGGUGGUCGUGGACCCUCAGGUUGAGUUUUUUUGUUAAUUUCUAAACAACGCGAAACCCGCGGAAACUCUCCCCCCACCACCACCUCCCGGGGCAAGGUUUCGGGGACCCCCCGCCCCCAAGAGCGUGCGGCUUUGGGGCGGCUGUAACGGUCCCAGGAGGAUCAGCCGGGCGCUAGAGCAAAUAUCUGAAUGGCUGCCGGCGGAUAAACACUGAGCGGGGGAGAGAGGCGGG
rnacentral:lncRNA from 1 species